UAUGGCUCUGCCUGGGGUUCUGUCUGUGGAUAUGAUUGUGGUUCUGGAUAUGGUUGUGGAUAUGGCUCUGGCUAUGGUUAUGGAUAUGGCUAUGGCUGUGGCUAUGGCUAUGGAUAUGGCUCUGGCUGUGGCUAUGGCUAUGGAUAUGGCUCUGGCUCUGGCUAUGGCUAUGGCUCUGGCUAUGGCUAUGGCUAUGGCUCUGGCUCUGGCUCUGGAUAUGGCUCUGGCUAUCAAUACGGCUCUGGAUAUGGAUCUGGCUGUGGCUAUGGCUAUGGAUAUGGCUCUGGCUCUGGCUAUGGCUGUGGAUAUGGCUCUGGCUAUGGCUGUGGAUAUGGCUCUGGCUCUGGCUAUGGCUGUGGAUAUGGCUCUGGCUGUCAAUACGGCUCUGGAUAUGGAUCUGACUGUGGCUAUGGUUAUGGAUAUGGCUCUGGCUCUGGCUAUGGCUGUGGAUAUGGCUCUGGCUCUGGCUAUGGCUGUGGAUAUGGAACUGGCUGUGGCUAUGGUUGUGGAUAUGGCUCUGGCUCUGGCUAUGGUUGUGGAUAUGGCUCUGGCUCUGGCUAUGGCUGUGGAUAUGGAACUGGCUGUGGCUAUGGUUGUGGAUAUGGCUCUGGCUGUAGAUAUGGCUCCGGCUGUCAAUAUGGCUCUGGAUAUGGAACUGGCUGUGGCUAUGGCUGUGGAUAUGGCUCUGCCUCUGGCUAUGGCUGUGGAUAUGGCUCUGGAUAUGGAUUCGGCUCUCCCUACGGCUGUAAAUACAGCUCUGGCUGCUGGGGCUGUCGACCAUUUUGCUACAGAAGAUGCUAUUCCUCUUGCUGCUAA
rnacentral:lncRNA from 1 species